rnacentral:rRNA from 1 species
UACAGAGGGGGCAAGCGUUAUUCGGAAUUAUUGGGCGUAAAGGGCGCGUAGGCGGCCUGGCAAGUGGAAGGUGAAAUCCCUCGGCUUAACCGAGGAACUGCCCUCCAAACUGCUUGGCUUGAGUCCGGGAGAGGUGAGUGGAAUUCCCAGUGUAGCGGUGAAAUGCGUAGAUAUUGGGAGGAACACCAGUGGCGAAGGCGGCUCACUGGACCAGAACUGACGCUGAGGCGCGAAAGCGUGGGGAGCAAACGGG